CAAAAGAACUUUGUUCUAACCCUCUGUGAACAUAUCUGUUGCCUCGGUGGAUUUUUGGUCUUCUCUGAUCAUCCACCGAAGGACCAAACUCAUUUGAUAUUGCCAUUCUGAAUUCCAAUAUAAAGAAUCA
rnacentral:misc_RNA from 1 species